rnacentral:rRNA from 1 species
AUAUCAUUUAGCGGAGGAAAAGAAACUAACAAGUAUUUCCAAAGUAACGGCGAGUGAACUGGAAAGAGCCCAUCGCUGAAUCUCUCGGUCUUAGGCCGCUGAGAAAUGUAGCGUAUAGUUGCAGUCUAUUCGUAGCUCUGCUGCUCGAAGUCCCUAUGAAUGGGGCCUCCAGAGAAGGUGUGAGACCUGUCCGAGCAGUAUGUGACCGCGGAUACCUCUGUUACUCGGAGUCGGGUUGCUUGAAAAUGCAGCCUUAAGUCGGUGAUAAACUUCAUCGAAGGCUAAAUAUUAUAAGGAAGGCGAUAGCAAACAAGUACCGUGAGGGAAAGUUGCAAAGGACUUUGAAGAGAGAGUUCAAGAGAACGUGAAAUCCUAAUAGUGGAAGCAGAAUGAGCUGAAAUGGCUAAACAGUGAAGUGGUUUCGGAGACGAGGCUAUGGAUCUGCGGUGCUGCUCUGGCUGUACUAGUCGAGUUUUCAUGACUAGUCGUGUGUUGCCCAUCGCUUCGGUGUAUGGUGUCUUGCCGGCUGGAAUUGAUUACCGUAUUAGUGCUGCAGUAUGGCCUCACGGUCAUAAGCCAGGGUUAAAGUCAGUCACCGUUCUGU